GGCCCCGUAGCUCAGUGGAUAGAGCGGCGGACUUCGAAUCCGCGUGCGCAAGUUCGAUUCUUGCCGGGGCCAUCA
rnacentral:tRNA from 1 species